rnacentral:rRNA from 1 species
CUAGCAAGUAUAACCCAACAAAAAGAAUUAAGCUGGACACCCCGAAACCAAGCGAGCUACCUCAAGACAACAACCGAAUUAAUCCUUCUCUGUGGCAAAAGAGUGGAAAGAUCUUAAAGUAGUGGCAAAAAACCUAACGAGCCUGGAUAUAGCUGGUUACUUGAGAAUGAAUUUAAGUUCAAUUAAAAGCGACUUCACCAGUAAGGACUAUUGCUUUUAUUUUAACAAAUUAAGGUACAACUUAAUUAGUAAAGGAAACAACCUAAAUAAAUGAAUAAAGAUUAUAUUCACUAAGGACCACAGCCCAGUAGGCUUAAAAGCAGCCACCACACAAUAGCGUUAAAGCUUAACCAACACAACACCUGCCAUUCCAAUAAAUAAUCUAAAUUCAACAAAAAAAUCAAGUCAAUCUACACGUAGAUAAGUUAUUACUAGAAUGAGUAACAAGGAUUAUCCUCAACAUACAUGUGUAAAUCGGAACGAACUAAUCACCGAUAAUUAACGAUAAGUAACUUAAACUAGAAUAUAAUAUAACAUAAAUCGUUUACCCAACACAGGAGUAUUCAAGAAAGACCUUAAGUCUAGAAAGGAACUCGGCAAUUU